GGCCUGAUGGUCUAGUAGCAUGAUUCUCCCUUCGGGUUCGCCCGAGUCGCAUGGCUUACAUUUGGGAGAGGUCCCGGGUUCAAUUCCCGGUCAGGCCC